rnacentral:rRNA from 1 species
CGUUUAAGCCAUGCGAGUCAUAUGUUCUUCGUGAACAUGGCGUACUGCUCAGUAACACGUGGAUAACCUGCCCUUGGGACCGGGAUAACCCCGGGAAACUGGGGAUAAUACCGGAUAACGCAUAUCUGCUGGAAUGCUUUAUGCGUAAAAUGGAUUUGUCUGCCCAAGGAUGGGUCUGCGGCCUAUCAGGUAGUAGUGGGUGUAAUGUACCUACUAGCCUACGACGGGUACGGGUUGUGAGAGCAAGAGCCCGGAGAUGGAUUCUGAGACAUGAAUCCAGGCCCUACGGGGCGCAGCAGGCGCGAAAACUUUACAAUGCGGGAAACCGUGAUAAGGGGACACCGAGUGCCAGCAUCAUAUGUUGGCUGUCCAGAUGUGUAAAAUACAUCUGUUAGCAAGGGCCGGGCAAGACCGGUGCCAGCCGCCGCGGUAACACCGGCGGCCCGAGUGGUGAUCGUGAUUAUUGGGUCUAAAGGGCCCGUAGCCGGUUUGGUCAGUCCUCCGGGAAAUCUGACGGCUCAACCGUUAGGCUUUCGGUGGAUACUGCCAGACUUGGAACCGGGAGAGGUAAGAGGUACUACAGGGGUAGGAGUGAAAUCUUGUAAUCCCUGUGAGACCACCUGUGGCGAAGGCGUCUUACCAGAACGGGUUCGACGGUGAGGGACGAAAGCUGGGGGCACGAACCGGAUUAGAUACCCGGGUAGUCCCAGCCGUAAACGAUGCUCGCUAGGUGUCAGGCAUGGCGCGACCGUGUCUGGUGCCGCAGGGAAGCCGUGAAGCGAGCCACCUGGGAAGUACGGCCGCAAGGCUGAAACUUAAAGGAAUUGGCGGGGGAGCA